rnacentral:rRNA from 1 species
GACGAACGCUGGCGGCGUGCUUAACACAUGCAAGUCGAACGAAGAGCGACGGAAGCUUGCUUCUAUCAAUCUUAGUGGCGCACGGGUGAGUAACGCGUAAUCAACCUGUCCUUCAGAGGGGGACAACAGUUGGAAACGACUGCUAAUACCGCAUACGAUCUAAUCUCGGCAUCGAGGAUGGAUGAACGGUGGCCUCUACAUGUAAGCUAUCAUUGAAGGAGGGGAUUGCGUCUGAUUAGCUAGUUGGAGGGGUAACGGCCCACCAAGGCGAAGAUCGGUAGCCGGUCUGAGAGGAUGGACGGCCCAAUUGGGACUGAGACACGGCCCAGACUCCUACGGGAGGCAGCAGUGGGGAAUCUUCCGCAAUGGACGAAAGUCUGACGGGGCAACGCCGCGUGAGUGAUGACGGCCUUCGGGUUGUAAAGCUCUGUUAAUCGGGACGAAAGGCCUUCUUGCGAAUAGUGAGCAGGAUUGACGGUACCGGAAUAGAAAGCCACGGCUAACUACGUG